rnacentral:rRNA from 1 species
AAAUUGAAGAGUUUGAUCAUGGCUCAGAUUGAACGCUGGCGGCAGGCCUAACACAUGCAAGUCGAACGGUAACAGGAAGCAGCUUGCUGCUUCGCUGACGAGUGGCGGACGGGUGAGUAAUGUCUGGGAAACUGCCUGAUGGAGGGGGAUAACUACUGGAAACGGUGGCUAAUACCGCAUAACGUCGCAAGACCAAAGAGGGGGACCUUCGGGCCUCUUGCCAUCAGAUGUGCCCAGAUGGGAUUAGCUUGUUGGUGAGGUAACGGCUCACCAAGGCGACGAUCCCUAGCUGGUCUGAGAGGAUGACCAGCCACACUGGAACUGAGACACGGUCCAGACUCCUACGGGAGGCAGCAGUGGGGAAUAUUGCACAAUGGGCGCAAGCCUGAUGCAGCCAUGCCGCGUGUAUGAAGAAGGCCUUCGGGUUGUAAAGUACUUUCAGCGGGGAGGAAGGUGUUGUGGUUAAUAACCGCAGCAAUUGACGUUACCCGCAGAAGAAGCACCGGCUAACUCCGUGCCAGCAGCCGCGGUAAUACGGAGGGUGCAAGCGUUAAUCGGAAUUACUGGGCGUAAAGCGCACGCAGGCGGUCUGUCAAGUCGGAUGUGAAAUCCCCGGGCUCAACCUGGGAACUGCAUUCGAAACUGGCAGGCUUGAGUCUUGUAGAGGGGGGUAGAAUUCCAGGUGUAGCGGUGAAAUGCGUAGAGAUCUGGAGGAAUACCGGUGGCGAAGGCGGCCCCCUGGACAAAGACUGACGCUCAGGUGCGAAAGCGUGGGGAGCAAACAGGAUUAGAUACCCUGGUAGUCCACGCCGUAAACGAUGUCUACUUGGAGGUUGUGCCCUUGAGGCGUGGCUUCCGGAGCUAACGCGUUAAGUAGACCGCCUGGGGAGUACGGCCGCAAGGUUAAAACUCAAAUGAAUUGACGGGGGCCCGCACAAGCGGUGGAGCAUGUGGUUUAAUUCGAUGCAACGCGAAGAACCUUACCUGGUCUUGACAUCCACAGAACUUUCCAGAGAUGGACUGGUGCCUUCGGGAACUGUGAGACAGGUGCUGCAUGGCUGUCGUCAGCUCGUGUUGUGAAAUGUUGGGUUAAGUCCCGCAACGAGCGCAACCCUUAUCCUUUGUUGCCAGCGAUUAGGUCGGGAACUCAAAGGAGACUGCCAG